GUUUAUAGUCAGACCACACUGAAUAAGCCCAACCUCGUCUGAUCUCAGAAGCUAAGCAGGGUCAGGCCUGGUUAGUACUUGGAUGGGAGAAAAAUUAGUAUUACUAAUA
rnacentral:rRNA from 1 species